CGAAAACACUGGACUCUGUCUGCACCAGACUUACGGAGAAAGCAGGUGCAACACAAGCUCCUAUUUGGAGGCUUGCUUCUUCACUUCACGGCUGCCUUCAAAAACAUUAACUGCAUUCUAGAAGAAUCUGCACCUGGUGAGUUUUAGGCUCUGAUCCUUCAGGCUGCUCCAGGAGCCCAUCACAUGUACCAACUCGCCCAGCUGAGGCCUGGAGGUGAGAACUGAGAUCCACUUUGGCAUAAUAGGUGCAACUCCCUACUGAUUUGUCAAGCGUUUGAUGAAGGUGAGCAACACAACAUACCCGCAUCUUCUUAUGCUUGAGCAGGCUGCCUUUACCUUACUGCCACGUGGAGGGGAAAUGUUAAAGCACCAGCAGCCUUGUGCUAUUUUCCACCAGUUUGCACCCCAUCAGUUGCACACGUGACAUCACACGGGCAAAGCUUCAGCUAUGUGUACUCCAAGCACUGGCAAACGACAUGCUUAAAUGCAGGUGUACGCACUGAAACCGCACUACUUUCUUGAGACGGGAAAAUAAGCAGCAAACAUUAAAUAUGCAACGAUUAAGGAACUGCAACAUUUCAGCACGAAGUUAUCCUCUGCGCAGUGGAGCCAGAGAGCUGCUGACCCCAGAUUACAGGCCACGUGGGCUGCUCUCUAUCUGCCCUGACACCUCGCAGGCUGUAGCACCUCUGGGCUUGAUAACCACUGGAGGGACACAAGAUGACUUGCCAGCUUUCAGUUUGGGUCACCGUUUCCCCUGAGCUCUUCUAUUGCGAUGCACAGUGCGGGAAAAGCUCAGCAACUGAGAUUCAGCAGAAAGCCCCCAAAGCCAGAGCAGCAUCACAACUCGCAGCACGCCCAGUCAUAAAUUACUCAGUGUUGCGGUGUGUGGUUUUGUUACCUCAUGCUCAACACAAUGGUAAUUAUGAGCCGCACACCUUCCACCUCCCUGACCCGCAGCACUGCAUGAAGGUGGGGAUGUUCCUGACGUUGCUGCAGGAGCUGGAGAGCAGCUGAGCCUGAAAAUGCAGUAGGAUGAUCAGUGGAUGGAAAAUGAGCAUUUGCCCACUUCCACACAACAACAACAAAGUGUGAAUAAUCAUCCUGGUUUAAGUUCACAGUGUCCUGCGUAUCAGAGAGACUGUCGGUGGUGG
rnacentral:lncRNA from 1 species